UUGGUCAAUAGCCUAACGGCUGAACCAGCAACUUGGAGGAACGAAGUUUUUUUAGAUAGAAAAAUUAGCUUCUUUGUGAUUUUUCUAGUUUUUUUUUAAAAUAAAUAUAACAACAAGUUUGUAUAAAGUUCUAGCUAGAUCAUUGAUUAUGACAAUUUUCUAUCUAUAUAGUCUUGACUAAUUCUUGUGCCAGCAGUCGCGGUAAUACAGGUUAGACCGUGUUAGUAAUCGGAAAUAGGUUUAAAGGGUACCUAGACGGUAAUUUUAGCACCCCUCUUGGAGGGGAUACUUUUUUACUUGAGUUUUAUGUGUGAGGUAGAUUUAGAAUUACUGGUGUAGAGAUGAAAUUCUUUAAUAUCAUUAAAACUGGUAAGGGUGAAAGCAAUCCUUUAUGUAAAAACUGACGUUGAGGGACGAAGGCUUGGGGAGCGAAAAGGAUUAGAUACCCCUGUAGUCCAGGCAGAAAAUUAUGAGUGUCAUAUGCUAGCUGGUCUGCCUAGUGUAUAAAUGAAAGUGUAAGCACUCCACCUCAAGAGUAAUGUGGCAACGCAGGAACUGAAAUCAUUAGACCGUGUCUGAAAACAUACGUGAAGUCUGCUGUUUAAUUCGAUGAUCCACGAAAAAUCUUACCACAAUUUGUAUGUGAUUAUAAAAAAAUAAUAUUAACUUUAUUUUUUUUAGUUAUACAAGCGUUGCACGGCUGUCUAUAGUUAAUGUUGUGAGGUUUGACUAAGUUCAUUUAUUUAGCGAAAUCCCUAGCUUUAUUUUUUAAUUUAAUAUAUUUUUAUAGAGCUGUUCCUUUCCACUAAUACGGUUUGAGAUAAUAGGGAGUAAGACAAGUUGUCAUGGCCUUAAUUAUUG
rnacentral:rRNA from 1 species